CUGCCCAAGUGGAGUACAUGAACUUAACCACUGUGCCACCAGGCCAGCCCCUGAAACAACUGUUUAUUAUGAGAAGCUGUUGAGGAGACUCCCUGACGAUGUGAGCCUUCGACUUAGAAUGUUGGGUGAUUUAAUAACAGUCGUCCCCCAGAGGUCCCGGGCUUUGACUUUAUUCCUCUGACAGGUAGGAGAAAGCCCUGUCAGAAACAGAAUCAUCAUGCCCGACUCAGGAGAAGGAGUGCAAUAAAAGGCCCCAUAAUGUGACACAGGUUCCUUUCUGGGAGAUAAGGAAAGGGCGAACAUGAAGGGGAGGACCAAUGGCUGGAUUCCCUGAAGAGGCCCCUUCACAGAGGGAAACGUGGCAAUGGGUCCUGAACAGAUGGACAAGAUGGAAAUUACAGAGGAGAUAGAAGGAGGCUGGCGGGCCUGUGUGAAAGUGAACAGGCCCUGCAGAAGCCAUGGGGAAAGGACAUGUGAGGGCUCGAAAAGAGAGUGCUCUGUGAGCUUGAGGAAUUAUUAGAAGGAAAAGUUAGAAAAAUGGACUGAGGAAGUCCCUGGGGUGGGGUCCUUCUCAGAGACUGGGAUUGUUAGGUCUGUGUCCCAAGGCCCAGCCUCUGAGGUCCCACAGCCCCCAGAAUCCCCAGCGCAGCUCUUAGGGGACAAUGCUGAGGGACUAUAACUCCAACUGUAGUGAAAUGGGAUUUAUGGGGAAAUAAUUGCAGCCCUGCCUCUGAAAAUUCAAGUUUCCCUACAUCCUAAUUAGAAUUCUUUCAAACAAAAGGACUAAGGCUGGGCCUGGUGCCCCACCACCUCCAGGAGAUUGUCCACAUACACUACACUUUAUAUGUCGGAAAAGGGUGAGGUCUCAAAACAUUCCUGUGAUUGCUGGACCCAGGAGCUCAAUGAUCUGCUGUCCCAGGAUCAGAGAAGGGCCUUCAUAAAAGAAUCGCCCCCUCAGAGUUGGUACAUGUGUUAGCGAGAGCCAAGAGAGAGUCACAACACUGUAGGGCAUUUGACCCCUUUGUUUGGACUGUGGUGAUUGUCCCCUUAUCAGCUUGUAUAAUUAUUAUUUGGAGGUACAUAAGUCCUGAAAUGUAUACCUACCUGCUGGUUGGACAAGGUCAUUGUGACCCCUGCUGGUGGCUUCAGAUGAUGUUGGCCAGGUUCACGGCCUGUACUCUCAACAGCCUCAGAUACCUGUUGGCUGUGAGAGCCUGUCUGUGCUUCCAAGGCGGGUGGAGGUAGUGCAACUGAAACAGACUUGUGAUCCCGAAGGUGAAAAGGAAAUUAUCCUUUUCAUUCAGUAAUUAAAGCAGGUGAGAUGCUACACAUCCCAGCCCCCACCCCAUCCAGCCAAUGAAAAGGUCGCUGGUGCCUGGCAUCUCACUGUGGACUACGGAGGCAGUUUACCACUAUUCCUGCAGACCCUGGUAUCGUUACUGUGGGUGGACAAACUGCUGCCACCACUGGCCUUGGGAGGCAGCCUUGGACGUUGCUAACACCUUCCGUUCUGUAGUCCUCCAAACAGGAACAUUUUUCUUUAUUUAGCAAGUCAUGCAAUAUAUUUUUGCUAUACUUCUGCAGGAGUGUUUAAAGUAUUCUGCAAUAUGCAUCAACGGAUUGAAUAGACCUUGGCACAAUGUAAGCUACUGGCAUUAUACUGAUAGUAGCCCCCAGUGAAGAAACUGUUCAGAUCAUGUUGCCAACCUCAUUAAGGCUGGGUGUGCCUUGAGUGAGGAUUGAAUCCAGGGCUCUAUAUCUUUCUUGGGAGCCACCCAGCAGAGCCCAAAGAGACAUUCCACAACCUAGUGAGGACAAACCGUUAGCCUUACAGCCUCCAAGAGAAAGUGCCCCCACCCUCUUGCCAAUAUCUGAUUAAUUUCUUUGGCCCUUGGAGGCAGCACAUCCCAUGACUUUGUAUGAAAUUCCCCGACAAGCAACAAAACUUGACAGGACCGGGGACCUGGUUACAAGAAGCCCUGGAAGCAUCCAAUCAGCUGUAAAGCAAUUUUUACAUUUGGGCUCCCUCCUCCUUCAGGCCUCACAGAGCUAUGGGUGGCUGUGACCAACCCCACUAAAGUAUCUGGCAACGAGAUUCUUCCAGCAUCCGCCAGCCCCUGGGCUUUUGAACUCAACGCCUUCCUGUCCAUCGAGCAGGACAGCCUCAGCAGCUACCGGCCUCCUCCUGUGCCGGAGGGAAGACUGAUCCUCUCACCAGAGGGAAGCUUGUCACUCUCCAACCAGGCGCUCCUGUCCUGCUAUGAGGCCUGCUGUGGCGGGAGUAUAGUCCAGGAUUUGUUUACCAAGAGGGUAAGUGGUUGUACUCCACGCGAUCACUCAGGGAUCCAGGCUGCUGGAAGUUCUGCCAUCUACAACACAUCAUUUCCAAGGUCAGUUUGCUCCCAGUCAAUGAUGAGGGGUGUCAAGUUGAACUGAAGUUCAAGGCCUCAAGCUUGUGAGGUGAAUGUUUCACUUAUCACAACUCACAUCCCUUUGUCCAGACCUUCAUCACAUGGUCACAUCUAGCUGCAAGCUGCUAAGGGGCCUGGAAAUGUGAUCCGUGUGCAGCCAUGUCUCAGCUACAGCUCUGUUCAUGUGGAAGAAGGAAGAAUGGAUUCUGGUAGACAGUUAGAAGCCUUUACACAGUCUGCCUCUGGUCACCAAACAUUCACACAUACCCUUCUUUCCACAUUUAGAAAAAAACUCACCUCAUCCUUAGAGGGACAUUUAAUUUAAGUCUCAUUCAGUUAUGACCUCCAGCUCAAAAUCCAGGCUCUUGAAGUAACGUCUAGGUAUCUCUAUUGGACCCACACAUGGUUCCUCUUGGACCAGUGACCUAUAAAAUAAUAAAGCCUAAAUUAUCUACUCCCCCCUCCAGAUACACACAGAUGAUAUACAAUGGUGGAAUAAGUGCAGGGUCAUGGCCAUAAACCCCCAUUAAGCAAAGGGAAACACACAGCAGUCAUUGGUCUAUAAUGAUGAUUAAAUCUUACGGGUGGGAAUCCUAAAUAGUCCUUACCCUACCAGUGGAGUGAGUUCCUUGAUUAGCCCCUCUGGCUGUCCCUGGUGUUCCCAAUGGGAAGAAAUUCCUUGUCUGUCACAGUGUGACUCCUGACUUUGUUUUCUGGAAGGUUCUUCCUUCUCCAUUAUCCACCAUGGCCAAUAUAAGAGGAACUGAGGAGUAUCUAUCUCUUAGGACUGCUCUGUACAGGUUUGGCAGGCUGCCUUCUGUUCCUAAAGUUUAGGGGCUAGCAGUUUAUUUUGUGACUCAGCCCCGGACAUUUUCAGAUAAGGCUCAAGGUUUCUUUGGCAAAACAUUCCCCUCAGAAUCUCACAGAGCUUCUUGUCUAUUUGCUUCAUGUGUCAGUAACCACAACCAAAGUCCUGUCUCAGUCUAGUUCUUCGGUCUGUUCUAGUUCUAUACGUCCUUGAGUGAUCCGUGCCUCUCUCUCACCUUUAUGGUAGCAGUCCUGGGCGGAAAGAUAGCACCCUUGACCUAAUCUUUUCCUCAGGCCCCUGUCUCUUUCUUUGGCUUAACAAAAGGCUUUGGGAAAGGCUUUGAACAAUGUAUGAGUUCUCCAUUGCUGUCCUAACAAGUUAUCACAAACUUAGUGGCUUAAAAGAACACAAAUUUGUCAUUAUUAUGGUUCCGUACGUGAGUCCAACACCAGUCUCACUAAAGUACAAUGCAGGUGUCAGCAGGGCUGUGCUCCUUUCUGGAGGUUUUCAUGGAGAAUCCAUUUCCUUGCCUUUUUGAGCAUCUAGAGGCUGCCUGCAUCCCUUGACUCAUGGCCCUUUCCUACAUUUUUGAAGGCAGCAAUAUCACUUCUCUUUGACCCUUCCUCCCAUCAUCACGUCUCUCUCUCUGAUCACAGCUGGGAAUAUUCUCUGCCUUUAAGAAUUCAUGUGAUUAAAUUGGGCCCACCAGGAUAAUCUCCCCAUCUCAAGUCCUCAACCUGAAUCACAUCUGCCAAGUCCCCUUUGCCAUGUAAGGUAACACAUUCACAGGUCCUGGGGAUUAGAAUGUGGACAUCAUUGUUGGGGCGGGGGGUCAUUAUUCUGCUCACCACAGGCAACUAAAGUCUUAUCUCCUACUACUUGAUGUGCAAAAGCAGGUGGAUUUCCCAACCUUAUAAGGACCCACAUAUCUGGAUUCAUUCUAUUCACUUCAAUCUCUGCUUGCAAUCUGGUCUCUUCUUGCCAGUGUUCAUGCUUUCUUACAAUAUCUUGUUAAAUCCAACAAGGCGUAGCCAACACUGGAAACAACUCAAAUUUCCAUUAACAUGUGAAUGGAUAGACACAUUAUGGUAUAUCCAUACAAUAGAAUACUCUAUAGCAGUAAAAAGGAAUGGACUACUGAUAAGCUCAACGAUGGAUGAAUCACAAAAUGGUUAUGCUGAAUGAAAGAAGCCAGACAAAUAUGGAGUCCCUACUAUGAGUCUAAUUAUAUAAAAUUCUAGAAAACGCAAACCAAUCUACAAUGACGGAAAGCUGAUUAGUAUUUGUCUGAGGAUGGGUUGAAAGAGGGAUGGAUUACCAAGGAAUAGGAAGAAACUUUUGGGGGUGAUGGAUAUAUUCACUGUCUUAAUUGUGGUGAUGUUUUCACAGGUGUAUACCUAUGUCAAUGCACAUCAUAUUGUAUACUUUAAAUAUAUGCUGUUUAUUCAACAUCAAUUGUAAAUACAGCAAAGCUGUAAAAAAGGGUACUAAAAGUAAAUACAGAGACAUA